CUUCUAUUUUUUUUAGUUCCUUAAUCUGCAUAGUUAGGGUACUAACUUGAGACCUUUAUUUUUGCUUAAUGUAGGCAUUUACUGCUGUAAAAUUCCCUCUGAGUCCUGCCUUUACUAAAUCUCAUAAGUUUUGAUAUGUUUGUUUUAGUUUUUAUUGAUUUCUAAGUGUUUUCCUUUCCUUUUCCUUUUCCUCUUUCCUUUCUUUUUCUCUUUUUCUUUUUCUUUCUUUCUUUCUUUCUUUCUUUCUUUCAUUUCUUUCUCUUUCUUUCUUCUCUUUCUUUUCCUUCUUUCUUUCUCUCUUUUCUUUCUUUCUCUUUCUUUCUUUCUUUCAUUCAUUCUUUCUUUCUUUCUUCUUUCUUCUAUUUCUUUUUCUUUCUUUCCAUUCUUUCUUUCUUUCUUCUUCUUCUUUUUUUUUAAUAGGGUCUUUCUCUGGCACGAUCUAGGCUCACUGCAACCUCCACCUCCUGGAUUCAAGAGAUUCUCUCACCUCAGCCUCCCGAGUACCUAGGAUUACAGGUUCCUGCCACCAAGCCUGGCUUGUAUUUUUAAUAGAGACGAGGUUUCACCAUGUAGGCAAAGCUGGUCUUAAACUCCUGACCUCAAGUGACCCACCCACCUCAGCCUUCCAAAGUGCUGGGAUUAUAGGCAUGAGCUACCCCACCUGGCCUCGAUCUGUAAGUGUUUUCUAAUUUCCCUUGUGAAUACUUUUUUUGACCCAUUGGUUGUUCAAGACUAUGUUGUUUAAUUUUGACAUAUGUGUGAAUUUUUUACUUAUACUUCUAUAAUUCAUUUCUAGCUUCAUUCCAUUGUGGCCGGAGAAGAUACUCUGUAUGAUAUCUACCUAAAAUCUGUAGAGGCUUGUUUUGUGUUCUAAAAUGUGGUUUAUCCUAGAGAAUAUUCCAUUUGCUUCUGAGAGAAUUGUGUAUCUGCUAUUGUACUAUGAAUGUUUGAUAUAUGUCUAUUAGAUCUGAUUGGUUUAUACUGUUAGUCAAGUUCACUAACUCUUCCCCAACCUACUAUCUAUUCAUUAUGAAAAAUAGGGCGUUGAAGUUUCCAAUUAUUAUAACUCUCUUUUCUGCCUUCAAAUUUGUCAAUGUUUACUUUAUGUAUCUUGUGACUCUGAAGUUUGGUGCAAAUAUAUUUAUAAUUGUUAUAUUUUCUUACUAUAGUGACUCUUACAAUAUACAAUGUAUUUAUUUGAUCUUGCAAUAGAUCUUGCCUUAAAUCUAUUUUGGCUGAGAUUAAUAUAGUACUCUAGUUCUCUGUUGGUUGCUAUUUUCAUGACUUUUUUUUUAUUCUUUCACUUUCCACCUAUUUGUAGUUAUAAUCUAAAGUGAAUCUUGUAGACAGCAUACGGUUGGAUCAUGUUUUAAUGUAACUCAAUUCUGCCAAUUUCUGACUUUUGAUUUAAGAGUUUAAUUCAUUUCCAAAAAUAUAAUGUUAAGGAAAGAUUUAUUUCUGCUGUUUUGCUAUUUAUUUUCUCUGUGUGUUAUACCUUUUUUGUUUCUCAUUGUCUCCAAUACGUUUUUAUGUUUAGUUGAUUUUGUUAAAUGUAUCAUUUGUUAUCUUCUCAUUUCCUUUUGAGUGCAUUUUUCAGAUAUUUUCCUAAUGGUUACCAUGGGAAUCACAAUUAACAUCUUACAUUUAUAACAAUCCAGAUUCAAUUGAGACCAACUUAGCUUCAUUAGCAAACAUUUUGCUUCUAAUAAGAUCUGCUCCUCCAUUAUGUUGAUGUCACAAAUCAUGUAUUUUGUAUUGUAUGCCCAAUAUAAUUAUUUUUUAUGGAUUUUUCUUUUAUAUUAUUAAAGAGAUAAAAAGUUCAAUUAUAAACCAAAAUAUAGUAAUGUUGGCUUUCAGUGGAGAUUUUUUAUUUCUUUGUACAACUUCUAGUUACUGACUUUUUGUUUCAACUUUACGGUCCAUCUUUAGCUUUUUGUGGAAAGGUGGUCUGUUGGUAACAAUCUUCCUCAGAUUUUGUUAAACCUGAAAAUGUUUUUAUUUCUUCUGUAUUUCUUAAAAAAUUGGUAAAAUACAUAUAAACUCUACCAUCUUAACCUUUUUUAUGAGUACAAUUUAUUAGCAUUAGGUACAUUUAUAUUACUGAGCAACUGUCACCACUAUCCAUCUUGAAACAUUUUUCAUCUUGCAAAACUAAAACUCUGUAUUCAUUAAACAGUAACUCCCCACUACGGAGCUAGGAAAAAGGUCAGAAACCAAAGAAAACAAGAAAUACAGCCAAGGUCAAACCUAGUUAGGGCAACACUAUCACUAUAGUCACUACUGAAUACUGGAUUUCACUGAUAGCAUAAAAGUUACCACUGACAUAUGCCAAAUUAACUCUAAAGCAUUUCUACUUCUUUAUUUCACCUGAUUUAUAUUCAUAGUCUCAAGUUGGAGAAUCAAAUUAGUUGAUCUUAAGCUACUUGUUCAUGUACCACCUGCCAAAAAUCAGAAAAGUUAAGUCACCUAGACCCAACAACUUCAUUAGUAGUAGGUAGGAUUGCUCCAAAAGAAAAAAGAGUUUGAUGAGUAGCAAAAAAAAAAAAAAAAAAAAAAAAAAGAUAAAAUUGGUUUCAGAGACUGUAGUGAAGUUGACUUUAUAGGUGAUAAUAAUGUGGGUGUGGAGAGUAGGGAGCCCAGCUGAGGAAGGAAAUAGUUAAUCUGUCCUCUGUCCUUAGCUAUGAACACUGAAGGACCUGAGUAAAGGAAAUAAUUGUUCAAGUUAUUACAAUGUUCUGCCUGUGACAGAAAUUAACAAUUUUCCCCAACUUCUUAUGUACUAGCAAAAUUGUUAUUUGAGCAUACUGCCUUUCAGCUGAACAGCACAUUUGUAAGCCUCACUUAUAGCAACAUCUGGCCACAUGGCUAAGUUCUGGCCAUGAGAUGUGAGAAAAGUGAUGUGUGCAAUAGCUGAGGUGUUCCCCUUAAGGAUAAAUAAUAUUCCCCAGUUUUCACAUUUUCUCCUUCCUGCUAGAUGGGAUGUGAAUACAAUAAGUGGGAGCUGAGGCAGCCAUUUCAGGCCAAAAGGUGAAAGCUGCAUUUUUAGGCUGUAAAUACAGCAAUUUUGAAGUAUCAUGGGUCUAUAAUAGUUCUAGAGUUACCAUAUCAGCCCUGGAUUACAAAGACAAACUUUGCAUGAGAAUAAAACAAAUUUUAUUGCCUCUAAGCGACUAUCACUUUGAUUCUAGAUAUCUGUUAUAGCAUUUGGGCCAACAUCAUAACUGAUACACUUCUUAUAGCUAGCUGUGAGAUGCAUUUCACAGCUCUCUUCUAUGAGGUUUAUAAGUUAGGUCUGAUCUAGCUGCAGAGCUAUGUUCAGGCCAAAGACUCAUCCAAGGACUCUUUAUUAAUGUAACACAAAUAGAUGACAAAAAGCUAAACUCCAAGAGUGAAAUGUUGCAAAAGUUCAGUGCUUUCUGUUGGAAAUGGGAUUUGUGCCUAUUCUUGAAUCCUAUAUCUCUUUCAUAAGUCACAAUUAAAUGUCUAAUCUUUAUUUAAUCUCCUAAGUGAAUUAGGCCAUGUGUUAACUUAGAAAACAGUUAUUUUGAUUAAGCCUGAUAAUACAUAAAGGUAAUGUUACAUUUUCUUUUUUCAAAAUUGUCAUAGAUUAGUGUUUCACCACGUCCUGAAAUACAUUUUUAAAAAUGCCUUGCUCCACACAUUAAUGUUACUGCCUUCUUAAUAGUCAAUGUUAUGGACUUGUUAAAGUCUUAUAAAUUAAUGUUUUUUAAACCAUAAGGCCCUACAAAUCAGAAUCAGAAAGUUCAGUUGUUCUCAACUGUACAUUAAAUUCACUUGGUUUAGCCUUUUAGAAAACACUGACACAUUAAAUUUACCUAGGUUAGCCUUUUAGAAAGUACUGACACCCCAGAAAUUGAAUAAAUUGUUCUUUGUGGAUGGCUCAACAGUUUUUAAAACUUCCUAUAGAAUUUUAAUGUGCAGCCAAAAUUGGGAAACAUUGCUCUAAUCCAACCCCUUGUAAAUUUAAAAUGCUACACAAAUGAUUCUUAAGUCCAGCUAAAUAUGUAGACUAUUAACCUAGUUCAUCUCCUUCAUUUUAUAAAUGGGAAAACAAGUACAGACAAUUGAAGGAACAAAAUAAAGUUCAGUGUCAGACCCAGGUCCAGAAGCCAAUAUAGGAACAGAUGUCCAUGCUAUAGAGGAAUCAGUCAAAGAUGCUACUAAAGAAAAUGAAUGAUGGAGGAGGAAAGAAAGUUAGUGAAGUUGAAGCAAUUACAAUUGAUAAAACCAUACUUGUGAAACUUCAAGAAGGAACUAUGUCAGAGGCAUUUUUGUUCUUUUGUUGCCAAAUAGUGUGGCUGGCAUUUAAUAGGUGCUCAGUGUUUUCUGAGUAAAUAAAUGUGUGCAAAAUAAAUAGUAAAGAUAAUAUAACUUUAGAAAUAGCAAAGAUGAUUCCUGGUGUCAGUAGUCAAGAAAUUCUUCAUGAAGGAUGGGUUUGCUUUAAUCUUUGAGAAAAAGAGGAUUUUUAGAAGUGUAAAAGAAGGGUGUAGGUUAUCCAGGAGGAGAAAACAUGUGCAGGAGAUGUACAUAAGAGAAUUAGAACAUGUAUGGUUGGCAUAGAGGAGAUUGGCUGAUGAGAACAGAGGGUUUAUUUUGGGGAUUAGUGUAAAAGACCUGUUGGGGUCAUAUUGUGGAAGGUCUUAAAUGGUGCGCAAUUGAGAGCCAGCUCCUGAGGGCAGCUGGUGGCCAUUAGUGAUACUUGAAUAGGCAGUGUAUCUAAUAAAAGUGCUAUCACAGGAGGCCAG
rnacentral:lncRNA from 10 species